rnacentral:lncRNA from 1 species
AAUGGAGUAACUACAAAUUUGUCUAAUAAACAGAUAGCUACAAAUUUCUACUCAUUUCAAAAUAAUUAAACUCAUUAAAAUAUUCUGUGCAUUUGUCUUUUUCCUUGUAGUGGUCGAGCGGUUUGAGCGGCGAUUUAGCUUUUAUGAUCGCUUCUAUCAUUUGGAAGAAUAUGAUCAAAAGACGACACUUUUUUAUCAUCUUAUUAGAGAUAUUAAACUACAAAAAUCUAAUCCCCUCGGCACAACAAAAAAAAAAAAAAAAAAAAAAAAACUAACAAAAAUCUAAUCAACACAAAACCAAAAUCAAUAUAUGAAUAGAUUAAACGUAUAAGAUAAAAAUUUGUGUAAGGAGAGAAGCUCGAAGAUAGUACUCCCUUCG